rnacentral:rRNA from 1 species
AUACGUUCACGCCUUUUAGGUGUGAAUCAGUUGACUGUCAUACUUCCAAGAAAAGCUCGAACUACUGUAAAGCAUCACGUACCUGUACCGUAAACCGACACAGGUGGGUUGGUAGAGUAUACCAAGGGGCGCGAGAUAACUCUCUCUAAGGAACUCGGCAAAAUGACCCCGUAACUUCGGGAGAAGGGGUGCCAAGUAACUCAAAUUGCUUGGUCGCAGUGACCAGGCCCUGGCGACUGUUUAUCAAAAACACAGGUCUCCGCGAAGUCGUAAGACAACAUAUGGGGGCUGACGCCUGCCCAGUGCCGGAAGGUUAAAGAAGUUGGUUAUUCAUUCGUGGAGAAGCUGACGACUGAAGCCCCGGUGAACGGCGGCCGUAACAAUAACGGUCCUAAGGUAGCGAAAUUCCUUGUCGGGUAAGUUCCGACCCGCACGAAAGGCGUAACGAUCAGGGCACUGUCUCGGAGAGAGACUCGGUGAAAUAGACAUGUCUGUGAAGAUGCGGACUACCUGCACCUGGACAGAAAGACCCUAUGAAGCUUGACUGUAGCCUGGAAUUGGGUUCGGGCUCUUCUUGCGCAGCCUAGGUGGGAGGCGUUGAAAGUUUUCUUUUGGGAAAGCUGGAGCCAUCAGUGAGAGACCACUCUGGAGGAGCUAGAAUUCUAAUGGCGUUCCUUGAAGCAGGACGCUUGACAGUUUCAGGUGGGCAGUUUGACUGGGGCGGUCACCUCCUAAAAGGUAACGGAGGUGUGCAAAGGUUCCCUCAGGCUGGACGGAAAUCAGCCGUAGAGUGUAAAGGCAGAAGGGAGCUUGACUGCAAGACCUACAAGUCGAGCAGGGGCGAAAGCCGGCCUUAGUGAUCCGACGGUUCCAUGUGGAAGGGCCGUCGCUCAACGGAUAAAAGUUACUCUAGGAUAACAGGCUGAUCUUCCCCAAGAGUUCACAUCGACGGGAAGGUUUGGCACCUCGAUGUCGGCUCAUCGCAACCUGGGGCGGUAGUACGUCCCAAGGGUUGGGCUGUUCGCCCAUGAAAGCGGUACGUGAGCUGGGUUCAGAACGUCGUGAGACAGUUCGGUCCAUAUCCGGUGUAGGCGCUAGAGCAUUGAGAGGAGUCUUCCAUAGUACGAGAGGACCUGGAAGAACACACCUCUGGUAUACCAGUUAUCAUGCCAAUGGUACACGCUGGGUAGCCAUGUGUGGAGUGGAUAACCGCUGAAAGCAUCUAAGUGGGAAGCCCACCUCAAGAUGAGUGCUCUCCAUUAGGUCACAGGAAGACAACCUGUUUGAUAGGCAGAAGGUGUAAGGCCAGUAAUGGUUUCAGCUGAUCUGUACUAAUAGACCGAUUGAUUUUGACC